rnacentral:rRNA from 1 species
AAGCGUCCGUAGCUGGCCGCGCAAGUCCAUCGGGAAAUCCACCCGCUCAACGGGUGGCCGUCCGGUGGAAACUGCACGGCUUGGGACCGGAAGGCGCGACGGGUACGUCCGGGGUAGGAGUGAAAUCCCGUAAUCCUGGACGGACCGCCGAUGGCGAAAGCACGUCGCGAGAACGGAUCCGACAGUGAGGGACGAAAGCCAGGCUCUCGAACC